rnacentral:rRNA from 1 species
CACGACGACAAAGAUGAGCAUGCGUCCCAUUAGCUAGUUGGUAAGGUAACGGCUUACCAAGGCUACGAUGGGUAGGGGUCCUGAGAGGGAGAUCCCCCACACUGGUACUGAGACACGGACCAGACUCCUACGGGAGGCAGCAGUGAGGAAUAUUGGACAAUGGGCGCAAGCCUGAUCCAGCCAUGCCGCGUGCAGGAUGACGGUCCUAUGGAUUGUAAACUGCUUUUAUACAGGAAGAAACACUCCGACGUGUCGGAGCUUGACGGUACUGUAAGAAUAAGGAUCGGCUAACUCCGUG